CAUUUUCAGGUGGUAUUACACAGACACGUGAGUUUAUUGGUCUUUUAUUUAUGCCCUGUCUGAGGAUGCAGAUUGGUGGGUAGAUGAGAAGGAACUGAUUGAGAGAGAUUAACCCCAAGAACUGAGAUCUUCCCAGCAUUGCAUUCUCAACCCCAUUUUAGAAAGGUUCCAAAUAGGGACUUCUGUGGGUUUUUCUUUACAUCCAUCUUACCCUUCCCAAGUCCCCAUGUCCCUGCGUAAACCCUAAAGCCACCUCUCAAAAGGUUCUCUCUCUAGUUCCCUUCAUUCCACAUAUCUCCUCUUCCACACCCUCUAGCCAGUAGAGCUCCCUUCUGACAAGCAAGUCUAAGACCUAGAUGACAGAUGACUUCCUGCAUUUGGGUGGUUCUUUUGUCACUAAUUUGCCUUUUCUAAAAUUGUCCUGGUUUGUUCUGCCAAUUUCCCUUCUUUCUCCCCAGCAUAUAAAGUCUCCAUCUCUGGAACCACAGUUAUAUUGACAUGCCCUCAGUAUCCUGGAUCUGAAAUACUAUGGCAACACAAUGAUAAAAACAUAGGCAGUGAUGAGGAUGAUAAAAACAUAGGCAGUGAUGAGGAUCACCUGUCACUGAAGGAAUUUUCAGAAUUGGAGCAAAGUGGUUAUUAUGUCUGCUACCCCAGAGGAAGCAAACCAGAAGAUGCGAACUUUUAUCUCUACCUGAGGGCAAGAGUGUGUGAAAACUGCAUGGAGAUGGAUGUGAUGUCGGUGGCCACAAUUGUCAUAGUGGACAUCUGCAUCACUGGGGGCUUGCUGCUGCUGGUUUACUACUGGAGCAAGAAUAGAAAGGCCAAGGCCAAGCCUGUGACACGAGGAGCGGGUGCUGGCGGCAGGCAAAGGGGACAAAACAAGGAGAAGCCACCACCUGUUCCCAACCCAGACUAUGAGCCCAUCCGGAAAGGCCAGCGGGACCUGUAUUCUGGCCUGAAUCAGAGACGCAUCUGACCCUCUGGAGAACACUGCCUCCCGCUGGCCCAGGUCUCCUCUCCAGUCCCCCUGCGACUCCCUGUUUCCUGGGCUAGUCUUGGACCCCAGAAGAGAAUCAUUCUUCAGCCUCAUGGUGAACUCGCGCCCUCCAGCCUGAUCUCCCGCUCCCUCCUUCCUGCCUUCUCUGCUGGUACCCGGUCCUAAAACAUUGCUGCUUCCUCUUCCUUUGAAGCAUCAUCAGUAGUCACACCCUCACAGCUGGUCUGCCCUCUUGCCAGGAUAUUUAUUUGUGCUAUUCACUCCCUUCCCUUUGGAUGUAACUUCUCCGUUCAGUUCCCUCCUUUUCUUGCAUGUAAGUUGUCCCCCAUCCCAAAGUAUGCCAUCUACUUUUCUAUCGCCGUCCCCUUUUGCAACCCUCUCUGGGGAUGGACUGGGUAAAUGUUGACAGAGGCCCUGCCCC
rnacentral:sRNA from 1 species